rnacentral:rRNA from 1 species
AAAAACGCUGGCGGCGUGCCUAAUACAUGCAAGUCGAGCGGAGUUUUGAAAAGCUUGCUUUUCAAAACUUAGCGGCGGACGGGUGAGUAACACGUGGGCAACCUGCCCUUGAGACGGGGAUAACUCCGGGAAACCGGAGCUAAUACCGGAUAACACAUAUCUUCGCAUGAGGAUAUGUUAGAAGGUGGCUUUUAGCUACCACUCAAGGAUGGGCCCGCGGCGCAUUAGCUAGUUGGUGAGGUAACGGCUCACCAAGGCGACGAUGCGUAGCCGACCUGAGAGGGUGAUCGGCCACACUGGGACUGAGACACGGCCCAGACUCCUACGGGAGGCAGCAGUAGGGAAUCUUCCGCAAUGGACGAAAGUCUGACGGAGCAACGCCGCGUGAGUGAUGAAGGUUUUCGGAUCGUAAAGCUCUGUUGUUAGGGAAGAACAAGUACCUGUUAAAUAAGCAGGUACCUUGACGGUACCUAACCAGAAAGCCACGGCUAACUACUA